AUUGAACGCUGGCGGCAUGCCUUACACAUGCAAGUCGAACGGCAGCACGGGGCAACCUGGUGGCGAGUGGCGAACGGGUGAGUAAUGCAUCGGAACGUGCCAUUGAGUGGGGGAUAACGUAGCGAAAGUUGCGCUAAUACCGCAUAUUCUGUGAGCAGGAAAGCAGGGGACCGCAAGGCCUUGCGCUCUUUGAGCGGCCGAUGUCAGAUUAGCUAGUUGGUGAGGUAACGGCUUACCAAGGCGACGAUCUGUAGCGGGUCUGAGAGGAUGAUCCGCCACACUGGAACUGAGACACGGUCCAGACUCCUACGGGAGGCAGCAGUGGGGAAUUUUGGACAAUGGGCGCAAGCCUGAUCCAGCCAUGCCGCGUGAGUGAAGAAGGCCUCGGUGUAAG
rnacentral:rRNA from 1 species